UACGUGGGGGGCGAGCGUUGUCCGGAAUCAUUGGGCGUAAAGAGCUCGUAGGCGGUUCAGUAAGUCAGGUGUGAAAGCUCCGAGCUCAACUCGGAGAGGCCACCUGAUACUGCUGUGACUAGAAUCCAGUAGGGGAGUGUGGAACUCCUGGUGUAGCGGUGAAAUGCGCAGAUAUCAGGAAGAACACCAGCGGCGAAGGCGGCACUCUGGGCUGGAAUUGACGCUGAGGAGCGAAAGUGUGGGUAGCAAACAGG
rnacentral:rRNA from 1 species